CGAACGAACAGGAGGGUAGAGAAGGAGAGAGAGAGAGAAAGGAACACACACCAAAGACCCUCUUCUUUCUCCCUGUCUCUCUCUCCUUAUUUUUCCACCCGUUCCUGUACCUCUACCGGUACUAAAGUGGAGUCCGGGAAGGAGAGAGGGGUUUGUGAAGGGCUAUCUAAGGUAGGGGAGAGAUAGUAGGACCCAAAGGAGGGUGGAAAAGAGUAGAAUUAACGUUUCCAAAGACGCCCUAUUGUAAACAAAACCCCUCUGAGAUCGAUCGAGACCACUUCCUCUUAGUUGUUCUCAAACCUCUCCCCUUUUCCCUACCUUCCGCUCUCGAAGAGCCCCUACCCGUUACCUCCGCCGCCGCCGCCUCCCCCCGUGGUGGUCCACCACCUGCCCUUCGACUAGGUCUGCAAGGUGUUCUCGAAGCACGUCCACGUCUCGUAGGACCUGGUCUUGGCCUACGAGUAGAGGCUCUAGUUGGUCUUGGUGCUCAGGGCCCGCGGCCUGUCGGAGUGGGCGUUGCAGCCUGAGUAAGCCCUCGAGUUGUUGUUGUAGGCGGCGCAGCAGCCGGAGAUGCGGCUGGAGAGGCGGAGGAAGCGCGUGGCACCACGGCGGUACCUGCCGCCGAGGAGCCUCCCGCUGAGAAGCCCGUGCGACGCGAGGAGGCUACGGCGGCCGGCGCGGCGGCGGCGGCGGCCUGUCUUCGCGCAGGCUGGGCCGAUCGAACCGGGCUGGCCUACCACGGACGGCAAAGAACCGUAGCGGUACCUACGACGUGAUCGCUCUUUCCUACACUCAAUGACUACUCUACAAACGAUGAGGAUGAAUGAUCAUGAUCCGAUCAAGAAGGAACGAAUUAAAGAACGACACGAAGAAGAAGAAACGGCGUUUCACGAAAAGGAGUUGGGAACUACCACUCUUUUUCCUUUUGAAAAGACAUGUUCAGGUACACUGCUACUCGUUUUUUGUGGUCAAGAACUCUUUGACGUCGGAAUGAUAAUGUACAUCUUAGGUGG
rnacentral:rRNA from 1 species